rnacentral:tRNA from 1 species
GGGAGCGGAUGGGGCCUGGUGGUCCUCGCGGGCUUCAACCCCGUCGCCCGGCGGUCUGCGCCGUCGGGGGAGGGUUCGACUCCCUCCCGCUCUCG